rnacentral:snoRNA from 1 species
ACCCACUGAUAGAGCUUGAACAAUUUGCUGUUGUUCUUUUUGUUUACACUAAAAUGAGAAAGGAAAAAUCCCCAGUGCUUUCUGUCUCUGUGGCAACCAGUUUGACUAGAGGAGAAUGUCU